UACGGAGGGGGCUAGCGUUGUUCGGAAUUACUGGGCGUAAAGCGCACGUAGGCGGCUUCUUAAGUCGGUGGUGAAAUCCUGGAGCUCAACUCCAGAACUGCCUUCGAUACUGGGAGCUCGAGUCCGGGAGAGGUGAGUGGAACUGCGAGUGUAGAGGUGAAAUUCGUAGAUAUUCGCAAGAACACCAGUGGCGAAGGCGGCUCACUGGCCCGGUACUGACGCUGAGGUGCGAAAGCGUGGGGAGCAAACAGGG
rnacentral:rRNA from 1 species